rnacentral:piRNA from 1 species
AAGGAAAGUUAAACACCGCCGUU